rnacentral:rRNA from 1 species
AUUGAACGCUGGCGGCAGGCCUAACACAUGCAAGUCGAGCGGAUGAAGAGAGCUUGCUCUCUGAUUUAGCGGCGGACGGGUGAGUAAUGCCUGGGAAUCUGCCUGGUAGUGGGGGAUAACGUUCCGAAAGGAACGCUAAUACCGCAUACGUCCUACGGGAGAAAGCAGGGGACCUUCGGGCCUUGCGCUUUAGGAUGGGCCUGCGGCGGAUUAGCUAGUUGGUGGGGUAAUGGCCUACCAAGGCGAUGAUCCGUAGGGGGCGUGAGAGCGUGGCCCCCCACACUGGCACUGAGAUACGGGCCAGACUCCUACGGGAGGCAGCAGUGAGGAAUAUUGCACAAUGGGCGAAAGCCUGAUGCAGCAACGCCGCGUGAGGGACGAAGGCCUUCGGGUUGUAAACCUCUUUUCUGGGGGACGAGACUAGGACGGUACCUCAGGAAUAAGUCUCGGCUAACUACGUGCCAGCAGCCGCGGUAACAC